rnacentral:rRNA from 1 species
GACGAACGCUGGCGGCGUGCUUAACACAUGCAAGUCGAGCGGUAAGGCCCUUCGGGGUACACGAGUGGCGAACGGGUGAGUAACACGUGGGUGAUCUGCCCUGCACUUCGGGAUAAGCCUGGGAAACUGGGUCUAAUACCGGAUAGGACCCUGGGAUGCAUGUCCUGGGGGGGAAAGCUUUUGCGGUGUGGGAUGGGCCCGCGGCCGAUCAGCUUGUUGGUGGGGUGAUGGCCUACCAAGGCGACGACGGGUAGCCGGCCUGAGAGGGUGACCGGCCACACUGGGACUGGGAUACGGCCCAGACUCCUACGGGAGGCAGCAGUGGGGAAUAUUGCACAAUGGGCGCAAGCCUGAUUCAGCGACGCCGCGUGAGGGAUGACGGCCUUCGGGUUGUAAACCUCUUUCAGCACCGACGAAGCGCAAGUGACGGUAGGUGCAGAAGAAGGACCGGCCAACUACGUGCCAGCCGCCGCGGUAA